UACAUAGGUCCCAAGCGUUGUUCGGAUUCCUUGGGCGUAAAGGGUGCGUAGGCGGUGCGGUAAGUCUGGUGUGAAAUCCCGGGGCUCAACCCCGGAACUGCACUGGAUACUGCUUUACUAGAGUACUGGAGAGGGAACUGGAAUUUACGGUGUAGCAGUGAAAUGCGUAGAUAUCGUAAGGAAGACCAGUGGCGAAGGCGAGUUCCUGGACAGUUACUGACGCUGAGGCACGAAGGCCAGGGGAGCAAACGGG
rnacentral:rRNA from 1 species